rnacentral:rRNA from 1 species
GACAGAGGAUGCAAGCGUUAUCCGGAAUGAUUGGGCGUAAAGCGUCUGUAGGUGGCUUUUUAAGUCUGCCGUCAAAUCCCAGGGCUUAACCCUGGACAGGCGGUGGAAACUACCAAGCUGGAGUACGGUAGGGGCAGAGGGAAUUUCCGGUGGAGCGGUGAAAUGCGUAGAGAUCGGAAAGAACACCAAUGGCGAAGGCAGCUCGCUGGGACGGUACUGACGCUGAGACGCGAAAGCGUGGGGAGCAAACAGG